UGGGCUAUGCUGGACUUGAACCAGCGACCUCUGUCUUAUCAGGACAGCGCUCUAACCACCUGAGCUAAUAGCCC
rnacentral:tRNA from 1 species